rnacentral:lncRNA from 1 species
GGCGCCGCCCCUGUUCUCCCGGCCCCGCUCCACCGGGGCUGACGGACUGACGGCCAGCACAGCCGGCUCCGGGAUGAGCGCACGGACGGACUUUAAGUGGUUCAAAGAGGUUCAUAGAAGGCAUGUGCAGAAGAGACUUCCUGUUACCAGACCACGAAAACAGAAUCAACUCUUACAACACUUAAUCUCUUACACGGAAUCCCUUGCUGCAAAGAUAUUUUUGCUUUACCUGGAUUAUAUGUGUUUAUGUAUACAUGAAAAUACUAAUUUAAAGUAUACAUAUUUACUUGCAUGAAUGUCUGUGUGUACUUGUGAAUCUCUCAGUCAGUAUUCCCCAAAAUACAUAGAAUGUUAAUGGGUUACAAGAAAAAGAAAUUGCCUAGCCAGAUGUGGAAAACACUAAACAAAGCUGGACAAGUUGGUUUAUUCUUGACUUUUCAGAGCCUUUCAUGGGUUAAUG